rnacentral:rRNA from 1 species
ACAAGCGGUGGAGCAUGUGGUUAAUUCGAAGCAACGCGAAGAACCUUACCAGGCCUUGACAUGCAGAGAACUUUCCAGAGAUGGAUUGUGCCUUCGGAACUCUGACACAGGUGCUGCAUGGCUGUCGUCAGCUCGUGUCGUGAGAUGUUGGGUUAAGUCCCGUAACGAGCGCAACCCUUGUCCUUAGUUACCAGCACGUUAUGGUGGGCACUCUAAGGAGACUGCCGGUGACAAACCGGAGGAAGGUGGGGAUGACGUCAAGCCAUCAUGGCCCUUACGGCCUGGGCUACACACGUGCUACAAUGGUCGGUACAAAGGGUUGCCAAGCCGCGAGGUGGAGCUAAUCCCAUAAAACCGAUCGUAGUCCGGAUCGCAGUCUGCAACUCGACUGCGUGAAGUCGGAAUCGCUAGUAAUCGUGAAUCAGAAUGUCACGGUGAAUACGUUCCCGGGCCUU